UACGUAGGGUGCAAGCGUUGUCCGGAAUUAUUGGGCGUAAAGAGCUCGUAGGCGGUUCGUCGCGUCGGCUGUGAAAACCCGGAGCUCAACUCCGGGCCUGCAGUCGAUACGGGCGGACUUGAGUGUUGCAGGGGAGACUGGAAUUCCUGGUGUAGCGGUGAAAUGCGCAGAUAUCAGGAGGAACACCGGUGGCGAAGGCGGGUCUCUGGGCAACUACUAACGCUGAGGAGCGAAAGCGUGGGGAGCGAACAGG
rnacentral:rRNA from 1 species